rnacentral:lncRNA from 1 species
ACGGGUCCAAUACCCCACUUUGUGUUUUUGACCUGGAACACACGAGGAAUGGGAAAAUUCAGUUGUAGCCCUUAUGAUGGGACGAUUGCCCUUAAAAUCAUCUCUGCUAGUUGUUAAAUCCAUCUUCCUAAUAUGAAUUAAGCAUAUUUAUGCUAUGUUGUGUUUAAAACUAACAUGGUCUUAAGAAAUGCAGUCUUUUGUUUAGUUCUAGAUAGGUGUGUUUUUUAUACGCAAAUAUUUCAGGGAAAAUUAUUAGAGGGAGGUUUGGGUGGGUUGGAGAUGAAUCAGGGAAUGUUCUUUGUCUAGUAUGAGAAUGGAAGGUGUGAAGAUGAAAGAUGAAUGGUAGAAUCGGAGGAGAGGGAGAAGUCUCUAAUGGAUCCCAAUUUCUUCUCAAUUUUUUAAUUUUAAAAUAACCCAAAUCCACAUCAUUUAGCUACGUCAAAUAAAAAUAUAGUCCAUUGUGCCACGUCAAGUAUAUAGUAACGUCGUUAGGUCCAAUUUAAGGGUAAGAGUCUAAUUGAUGCAAUUUUUACAAAAUAAAGACUCAAUUGAGAUGCUGAAAAAAUAAGGAGACCUGUUUGAGAUUCUGGACGAAAAUAGGGAUCUACCGAAAUAUUAAAC